UUACUGAGGAACCGAGCACCAAAAAAUGAAAUCGAUAACGCGCUAUUUGCAUACCUCAGUGGUAGUAUGGAAAUUGCAAAAUGCCCAAACUAAUAUUUUUCAGCAUUGGCAUCAUUGGCAAAUGUUAUAAAAAAUGUGAGUUUUUACAGCUCUCUCUCGAAUCAAAGAGUCUCGUAUCAUAUUAUCCAUGGUACAUAUGCAGAUUAAUUUAUUUUAAUUAUGAAUACAUGUAAACAUUUAUGAUAGAACUAUGUGGGGCAUCUCGACAGGCAAAAAUUUAUGGCAUACUAAUUGUCAAAUCUAUUGCUAUUGCCAUUGCCAAAUCUGUAUGUGGGUAUUUGUUAUCAUAACAUAAUCAUUUGCGAAAAGGCGUCGGAUAUGUAGGAUGAGCUGAUGUAGCGCAUGCUUUGAGCUCUUGAAAAAAUUAUUUUAUCGUUUGCGAAAUUCCGUCGGGUAGGUAGGUUCAAGCUGACCGCAUGUUUUGAGCUCUUGAACUGUUUAAAGUUAUAUAUGGAUGAAAAAAAUUUAUAUGGAAAAUAAAAAAAGGAGAAAUAUACUUUUUUCUACAAAUGUAUUUCUUGUAAAACAAGAUUUUUUAUUUUCGGACUAUAAAAAUUAUAGCAUACAUUUUAUAUACCAAUUAAAAUAAUAAAUUUGAUAUAAGCAAUGAUAUUUUGAUUUAAGACUUCACUCAAUCUCGACACAUUUUGCAUAAUUUUUCUGUAAAUUAACAAUAUUAAACUAAAUAUUAAUUUUUUGGAAAAUUUUUAUUUUGAAAAUGUACUUUAUUUUUAUAAUAUAACACAACUGUCUUAAUACUCUCUACUAAAUCUAAUAUUACCGAAAUGAAAAUGCCGUCGGUAUAUGUGUAAAUGGGAUAUGCUUCCUCUUCGAAAUUUUCAUAGAAAUGAAAACUGAGCUGUCAAACUGCUGAAAGAUGUAUGGCAUCCUAAUUAGUAUUCCACAUUUUGCUUUCCAUAAGCAAUAGGGAGUCUCCACAGGCAAUAGGCACGGCAACACAGUUAGUAUAACAUAAAUUUUAUCCUGUCGAGAUCCCCGAUACGCAUAAUGUUUGUAAAUUUUCCACGUUUCAUGCGAAAUCUACGUUGCCACGGGCAACCAAUGGCGAAGAUAAUUUUUGGUUUCAUGGCAAAGAGUCAAUGUGUCGAAGACCGACUCGAUAACAAAGCGUCACAACAUUAUGUUGUUGGUAGAAAACCUGAGCUGUGCCGAAAAAACAAUCGAACGAUCGCCGAUUGUCGCCGUUUCCCUUGGCGUUCUAACAUCUUUGUCUACAAACAAUCAUAUAUAUGUAUGCAUGUUACAUAUAAGCGUGACGACGCCGAUUUUUACGAGACGCGGAGAAAUAUAUUUUACAAUUGUAAAAUAUUUUAAAUCGAAAAUGGUUCAGUUUAUGAUUCUUAUAGUUGUGCAACCUGUUGCUUCAGAGUAUAAUAGUUUUGUUCACCUAACGGUUUUACGUAUUACCUAAAACUAAGGCAGAUAAAUAUUGGGUUAUGAAUACAUAAAUGAUCAGGAUGGCGAGAAAAGUUGAAAUCCGGGCGACUGUCUAUCUGUCCGUCCGUUCAUCUGUCCGCGCACGCUGUAACUUGAGUAAAAAUUUAGAUAUCUUGAUGAAACUUGGUAUUCGGGUUUUUUAAUACAAAAAAAUUACGAGUUCGUAGAAGGGCGUAAUCGGAUUACUGCCACGCCCACAAUUGAAAACCUAAUAAGUGUCAUAACUAAGUACUAAAUUAAGAUACAAAACUAUGGGAGCCUUGGUGAAAUUUGGGCGUGGAACCGCCUAUGUCACAGUACAAAACGGACAUCAACCACGCCUACUUCCCAUAUAGCACAAUUUAAAAUUGUACUUGAUUUUUUCACUUUCCAGUACACUCAUCAAGAAACAAUUAAAAUAACGGGAUAACGGGAAAUCCAACGGAAACUGUCCAAACCUGCUUCUAGAACAUUGGAAAGCAGUUCCCAUGGUUGAAUUUCGAUCGAAAAUAUCGAAUAAUAUGUGAGAUAUGUAUAUCUAUAGUACAAUUGAAAUUCAAGAAUAAUCCUUCCUUGUCUGUAUGUCAAAAAAGGGUUGAAUCGGGCCCUCAUUUGCCUAGUAUAAAGAAUUUCGAGCUUUCGGGUAACUUUUUAUCGCAUAUAUCGACCGAUAUGUGAGUUAUGAAAAUGAGAGAAUAUUUUUAAUAGUGAAUCUUUGUGCGUAAAAUAGAUCAAUUUGACCGAAAACUUGACCUAGCCCCUCUAUAACUAAUAUAAGGAUUUUCGAACACGGCUGACUUUACUCUAUUUGAUGUGACAGUGGUAGUAUGUGGCACGUUAAUAUAAUGUGGUUUUGGGAAAAAUAGAUUAAAUCGCAUCGAUACUAUACCAAGUCCAUAUUCUACAUAUAAUGAUUUUCAUUUUUCUAACAAACCUUAUGUGUCUGUUAGUGGAUGAGUUAUAUAUGUGGUAUACUACUUGCAUAUGUAAGUACAUUAGGGUGUUUUUUUAUGAACUAUUAAUUUUAUUCAGUCCCGUCACGGGAUUGUAUGUAUCGUAAUAAAACUGAGGUGUAGCGCAAACCGAUAGGUGCUGGAUUAGACGUUGGCGAUGAAGUUUUCACAAUAAAAGAAAAACUUUCACAGAUGCUUCCAAAUUAUGAAGCAGUAAAUCCGAAGCCAAUUGUGUUGUAGAGACGUACAACCCUGAUGUGUCACAAUCAUCUGCGGAACCAUCGGGUUCACUUAAUGACAAAGCAGAAUAGACAACAGUAGGAGCAGAGGUAGCAACAGUUCCUCCUACCCCUCCGUCGUUCCUCGAAAAAGUGAAAAAACGUGCUCCAAAGAAUACUCUUAGUGAACUUAAAGAUAUACAAAAGAAAAAGGAACAGCUUUUUGAGUAACGAAUUGAAAUUAAAAAAGAAAAGUUAAAUUUGGAAAAGUUAUAGCUAGAUUUGGGCAGAGAAAAGUUAAAUAAAGAGUUUGAAAUAAAAAAAUUGUAGUUAGAGCAAUAAGAAAGACUGGCAAUGAUUGAACUAAAGUACAAAUAUAAUAUUUAACAUAAUUUUAUAGGCUAUUGUUAAGUUUAAUAAUGUUUAAGAAUGUAAAAAUGUAUCUAAAUGUGAUAUCUUGAAGUGAUACGUACUUUUUGUCUGUAUAUAAAAAUGAAAAAUGAAUUUUUGACUUAA